rnacentral:rRNA from 1 species
AUUGAACGCUGGCGGCAGGCCUAACACAUGCAAGUCGAACGCGUGGCGGACGGGUGCGUAAUGUCUGGGAAACUGCCCUAUGGAGGGGGAUAACUACUGGCAACGGUAGCUAAUACCGCAUACCAUCGGAUUUGCCCAGAUGGUAUUAGGUAGUUGGUGAGGUAAAGGCUCACCUAGCCGACGAUCCCUAGCUGGUCUGAGAGGAUGACCAGCCACACUGGAACUGAGACACGGUCCAGACUCCUACGUGAGGCAGCAGUGGGGAAUAUUGCACAAUGGGCGCAAGCCUGACGCAGCCAUGCCGCGUGUAUGAAGAAGGCCUUCGGGUUGUAAAGUUCUUUCAGUGAGGAGGCGUUACUCGCAGAAGAAGCACCGGCUAACUCCGUGCCAGCAGCCGCGGUAAUAC